UUGAAGUGAGAAUGCUGACAUGAGUAGCGAUAAAACGGGUGAAAAACCCGUUCGCCGGAAGCCCAAGGGUUCCUGUCCAAGGAUCAUCCGGGCAGGGUUAGUCGGCCCCUAAGACGAAGCAGAAAUGCGUAGCCGAUGGGAGACGGGUUAAUAUUCCCGUACCACUGACACAGAGCAGAGCGGGGACGGAGAAGGCUAGGGUAGCCACCUGAUGGAUGGUGGUUCAAUCCAGUAGGCUGUCUGCUUAGGAAUAAAACGAGCGGAUAAGGCCGAGAGGGUACGUCGAAGAGACUUCGGUCUUGAAGUACCUGAUGCCAUGCUUCCAAGAAAAGCCGCGGGCUGCGAUGAAGUGUUGGUGACCGUACCGCAAACCGACUCAGGUGGGCAGGUGGAGAACACCGAGGCGCUAGGGAGAACACUGGUUAAGGAACUAGGCAAAUUAAUACCGUAACUUCGGGAUAAGGUAUGCCAGUUAGGUGAAGGGCCUGCGCCUGGAGCCAAGACUGGUCACAGCAGAGCGGCGGUAGCGACUGUUUACCAAAAACACAGGUCUCUGCAAAGUCGUAAGACGAUGUAUAGGGGCUGACGCCUGCCCGGUGCCGGAAGGUUAAGAGGAGCUGUCAGCGCAAGCAAAGCAGCGAAUUGAAGCCCCGGUAAACGGCGGCCGUAACUAUAACGGUCCUAAGGUAGCGAAAUUCCUUGUCGGGUAAGUUCCGACCUGCACGAAAGGCGUAACGACUUCCGCGCUGUCUCAACCAGUGGCCCUGCGAAAUUGACGUUGGGGUGAAGAUGCCCCAUACCCGCAGAAAGACGGAAAGACCCUGUGAACCUUUACUCUAGCUUGGCAGUGACAUUCGACAUUAUCUGUGUAGCAUAGGUGGGAGGCGUUGAGUUCGGCGCGCUAGCGUCGAAGGAGCCACCGUUGAAAUACCACCCUGAUGAUGUUGGCUGUCUAACUUCGAAAGAAGGACACUGCCUGGUGGGGAGUUUGACUGGGGCGGUCGCCUCCCAAACAGUAACGGAGGCGCGCGAUGGUUCUCUCAGCCUGAUCGGAAACCAGGCGUAGAGUGCAAAGGCAUAAGAGAGCUUGACUGCGAGACGGACACGUCGAGCAGGUUCGAAAGAAGGCCUUAGUGAUCCGGCGGUCCCAUAUGGAAGGGCCGUCGCUCAACGGAUAAAAGGCACUCCGGGGAUAACAGGCUUAUCACGCCCAAGAGUUCACAUCGACGGCGUGGUUUGGCACCUCGAUGUCGGCUCGUCGCAUCCUGGGGCUGGAGCAGGUCCCAAGGGUUUGGCUGUUCGCCAAUUAAAGCGGCACGCGAGCUGGGUUCAAAACGUCGUGAGACAGUUUGGUCCCUAUCUUCUGUGGGCGUUGGAGAGUUGAGAGGAUCUGUCCUUAGUACGAGAGGACCGGGAUGGACACACCUCUGGUGUUCCGGUUGUCGCGCCAGCGGCACUGCCGGGUAGCUAAGUGUGGACGGGAUAACCGCUGAAAGCAUCUAAGUGGGAAACCCCCCUCAAGAUUAGCUCUCCCCAAAGGACCCAGGUAGACUACCUGGUCGAUAGGCAGGACGUGUAAUCGCAGCAAUGCGUUCAGCGAACCUGUACUAAUUGUCCGUUCGGCU
rnacentral:rRNA from 1 species